AUUGGAUAUAAAGGCUGGAGGACAGGAAAAGCAAACAGAUGGAAAAACAGUUAUAACGACUGAAGGGGUCACUAGACACAAAGAAUCAGAGACAGUGAAUGGCCAUUUCACCUGUCCUUGUCUCAAAAUAUCAAACACUGCUCUACUUAUAGAAGACAUUUUAAAUUACAGUCGACAAACAGCCAGUGUAUGCCCUACUGAUGCUAUUGUAUUUACAACAGUUAAAAACAGAUUGGUUUGUUCUGAUCCACAAAAUCCUUGGGUAAGAAAUGCCAUGGAAUUUGUUGACAGUAAGAGGGCAACUGAAUCGACAGCACAUCCCAAAUCAAAAUUAAAAACAGCAUCAACGCUGGAUACAAAAUCCCACUGGUUUACAGCAGGCUGCAUAAAAGGCCACUUCACCUGAACUAUGCAAAUUUGUUAACUUACAGUUCAAAAAGGGUUCAAAAGCUGUAAUUUUGGAUUUACCUAACCUUAAAGAGCAUUUUUUCUAAAUAAAUUAUUAUUCAUUAACAAGACAGGUAUAUUUUGAAUGAAAUCAACAUCAGAAUAAAAAAGUAGCUGUAAUAAAUGUAUAGCAUGAUGUCAAUACAUUUUGAAUAGUUAUAUAAAAAUGCAACUCUCAGUAUGUCUUUUGGAUUUCUUGAAUGUUUAUCAAUAUUCUAUGUAAGAGACAAAUCAAGGUUUAGCUGGUUAACAGAUCCCUGCUGUUUGCAGAUUUUUUUUAGUCUAUUACUGUACUUUAAGAAAUUAUGUCAUCAGUAAGUUAAGACAACUAAGUGUUUUUACAUUCAUUGAACUCAUCAAAAUAAGUUCAGCAAUUUUCUUUUAAGCUUAAACAACUUAUCUUCAAUAGACCAUGUCUAUCUAGCUUGUUUUGUCAAUAAAUAUGAGCAUCAGGUCAACAGUUUAUAAGAUGAUCUGUUGCAUUACUAUUUGUUGCUUCUUUCUUCUUCUCACUGGUAAAAUUUAAGUUGGAUUGAGAUGAGCAGCAAGGAAAUGUUUCAUAGGGCCCUUGCAAUACCUGCUAUAGACAUUAUCAAAUCUUUACAUAGAGCUCAAUAAAGGUCAGGUGAUUUCCCAGCAAGUGUAGACGUACAGUACAUGUAAAUAGAUGAUACACUUUUUUAUACUUGCUUU